rnacentral:rRNA from 1 species
UACGGAGGGGACUAGCGUUGUUCGGAAUUACUGGGCGUAAAGCGCACGUAGGCGGCUACUCAAGUCAGAGGUGAAAGCCCGGGGCUCAACCCCGGAACUGCCUUUGAAACUAGGUAGCUAGAAUCUUGGAGAGGUCAGUGGAAUUCCGAGUGUAGAGGUGAAAUUCGUAGAUAUUCGGAAGAACACCAGUGGCGAAGGCGACUGACUGGACAAGUAUUGACGCUGAGGUGCGAAAGCGUGGGGAGCAAACAGG